GGGGGCGACCAGGUUUCGACGGGGAUUCAAGAAGCUGGAGCUGCAUGCCGGGGACUUCUCGAUUCUGCCCCGUUACCAAGAUCGAGAAACCACAAUUGCCAACGAUAACUUGGCCCUGGCCGCCUAACCUAGUUAGGUGACCUGCCCGCCUCACUUGCGCCACGGGAGUGGGGGCCGGGUAUCAUAAUCCGCCGGCUGGUUCCCCGCCGCGUCCGGAGACGGGGGACGAGAAACACCGGACUGGCUGCGCGACGGAUCGUUCGCCGUCCUCGCGCGCGGCGAGACCCAAAGCUGCGAACUACGCCUGUAGACGCUCUGGUGGACGUUUCUUCGGACGCGGGUUCGAUUCCCGCCGCCUCCACCG
rnacentral:tmRNA from 1 species